CAUAUUUCAGAAAUGGCAUCAA
rnacentral:miRNA from 1 species